rnacentral:rRNA from 1 species
CCUACGGGUUGCAGCAGUGGGGAAUUCUGGACAAUGGGGGCAACCCCGAUCCAGCCAUGCCGCGUGAGUGAAGAAGGCCUUCGGGUUGUAAAGCUCUUUCAGGCGGGAAGAAAUGGGGUUAUUUAAUAGAUGGCCUCGAUGACGGUACCGUCAGAAGAAGCACCGGCUAACUACGUGCCAGCAGCCGCGGUAAUACGUAGGGUGCUAGCGUUAAUCGGAAUUACUGGGCGUAAAGGGUGCGCAGGCGGUUGUGUAAGACAGGUGUGAAAUCCACGGGCUUAACCUGGGAACUGCGCUUGUGACUGCACGGCUAGAGUACGGCAGAGGGGGGUGGAAUUCCACGUGAAGCAGUGAAUUGCGUAGAGAUGUGGAGGAACACCGAUGGCGAAGGCAGCCCCCUGGGCCUGUACUGACGCUCAUGCACGAAAGCGUGGGGAGCAAACAGGAUUAGAUACCCCCGUAGUC